UACGAAGGGGGCUAGCGUUACUCGGAAUUACUGGGCGUAAAGGGCGCGUAGGUGGCGCUCCAAGUUAGGCGUGAAAGUCCUGGGCUCAACCUGGGAACUGCGCUUGAUACUGGAGUGCUUGAGGAUGGAAGAGGGUUGUGGAAUUCCCAGUGUAGAGGUGAAAUUCGUAGAUAUUGGGAAGAACACCGGUGGCGAAGGCGGCAACCUGGUCCAUUACUGACGCUGAGGCGCGACAGCGUGGGGAGCAAACAGG
rnacentral:rRNA from 1 species